AUUGAACGCUAGCGGGAUGCUUUACACAUGCAAGUCGAACGAGUGGCGGACGGGUGAGUAAUAUCUCGGAACGUGCCCAGUAGCGGGGGAUAACUACUCGAAAGAGUGGCUAAUACCGCAUACCAUCGGAUGUGCCCAGAUGGGAUUAGCUAGUAGGUGGGGUAAAGGCUCACCUAGGCGACGAUCCCUAGCUGGUCUGAGAGGAUGACCAGCAACACUGGAACUGAGACACGGCCCAGACUCCUACGGGAGGCAGCAGUGGGGAAUAUUGCACAAUGGGCGCAAGCCUGAAGCAGCCAUGCCGCGUGUAUGAAGAAGGCCUUCGGGUUGUAAAGUACUUGCAGCGUGGAGACGUUACCCGCAGAAGAAGCACCGGCUAACUCCGUGCCAGCAGCCGCGGUAAUAC
rnacentral:rRNA from 1 species